CAUUUUAGUACAUUGCCUGCUCCAAUGGCUGACCCAGCACGCAGAGCGAGAGAGAGAGAGAGAGACACACACACACACAUACACACCCAUAAAACUCACCACGUAGGCCAGUAGUCUGUCAAGACGCCAACCCUAACUUCCUGUCUGCGGUCUCUCUCUCUCUCUGUCUCUCUUUCUUCUCUGUACUGGUCUAAUAUCUCUGCUUUCGUCGGUAUGGGUCUCAAUGUCCAGACCCGGAGUCUGGUUUCGUCAUCAACCUGAGGAGAUUAUCCGUGAAGUGUUGUUUUUCUCGAGGUUUGAUUGUUGAUCUGAUAGUAUUUUCGUUAUUAAUUGGAAAUGAUGAGCGCGUGACGAUGUUUUCGGUAUUGUCACAGAAGGGAGAUCUAUGGGGUUUGUUUGAGUUUUGUUUUGUUUAAAUUGUAAUUUACGAGGGUUCGUUGGGUGUUUUUUUAACUUUCUAUUGAAUUUUUAUGGUAGUGGGUUUAGUAGGUGCUCGUGAUCUGAAAAGUGGCAGUUGAUUUAUUAUUUAUUUUGGGAAAAAUUUACUGAUUCAGUCUGGAGUUUGGAUCUUUCACCUAAUGGAUUUUGUUAAGUAGCGGUUACCCAGUUUAGAUUUUCUGUAUAUGAAGUUGAGCUUUUGGGGGGUGAUUGGAUGUGGGUUGACUGGGAAUCUGGAGGAAGUGGAAUUUACUAGAUAGGUUUAUUGAGUUGUUUGGGUGGAAUUGUGAACUGGGUUGGCAUCAAUGUCGAUCAGGAGUAUUAUUCAGGACAUGAGAGAUGAGCUUGGGAGCAUAUCUAGGAAAGGGUUUGAUGUGAAAUUUGGGUAUGGAAUGCGAUCGAGGUCUCACCGGGUGGUUCAGGAUAGUACCGUGUCAGUUGAUGCCUUGAAGCAGAGUUGUUGGGCUAACAUGCCGCCGGAGCUUCUAAGGGAUGUGCUGAUGAGGAUCGAGGAAUCUGAGGGCAGUUGGCCUCCUAGGAAGAAUGUGGUUGCUUGUGCUGGUGUUUGCAGAAAUUGGAGAGAAAUAAUGAAGGAGCUUGUUAAAGCCCCUGAAAUUUCAGGCAAAUUGACUUUCCCUAUCUCUUUGAAGCAGCCUGGUCCAAGAGGUUCACUCCUCCAGUGCUACAUUAAACGGAACCGUAGCAACCAAACGUAUUACCUCUAUCUUGGCUUAACUCAAGCUUCAAAUGAUGAUGGUAAAUUCCUUCUUGCUGCACGAAAAUGUAGACGUGCCACUUGCACAGACUACAUCAUCUCACUAAAUUGUGAUGAUGUUUCAAAAGGAAGCAGCACCUACAUAGGAAAGUUGAGAUCUAACUUUCUAGGGACCAAAUUCACAGUCUAUGAUUCUCAGACGCCAAAUUCUGAAACAAAAGUUGUCAAGAGUCGGUCUACAAGGCUUGUUAAUAUGAAACAAGUCUCCCCUAGGGCCCCUGCUGGAAAUUACCCUGCAGCCCACAUCUCAUACGAGUUGAAUGUCCUGGGUUCCAGGGGUCCAAGGAGGAUGCAGUGCAUAAUGGAUGCUAUUCCUGCAUCUGCUAUUGAACCCGGAGGUGUGGCUCCAACACAAACUGAAUUUCUGCAAAGCAGUUUAGAUACUUUUCCCUCCCUCAGUUUUUUCAGAUCAAAAUCCAACCAGGGGGAUGGUUUUCAGUCUUGUCCUUUCCCUGUACAAAAAGAUGGAAUGCUGGUUUUGAAAAACAAGUCACCCAGGUGGCAUGAACAACUCCAGUGCUGGUGUCUGAACUUCAGCGGGCGAGUAACAGUGGCUUCAGUUAAGAAUUUUCAGCUUGUUGCUUCUCCAGAGAAUGGACCUGCUGGACUGGAGCAUGAGAAUGUCAUUCUCCAAUUUGGGAAAGUGGGAAAAGAUGUAUUCACUAUGGAUUAUCAGUAUCCCAUCUCAGCUUUCCAGGCAUUUGCCAUUUGCCUUAGCAGCUUUGACACUAAAAUUGCCUGUGAAUGACCGAGGAGCAGUACCAUACCUUGAACAAGUGUUGUACAAGGCAUUCAUAAAUAGUCUGAUAUUUCUCUUCUUUCUAAUUAUAUUCGGCACAGCAAGAAGUGGCACGAGUUGGUCACAGAUCGGGUUCUUGCUACGCAGAAUUUGGCCUUGAUGCGACCAAUCCUCUAGAUAGUCCAAUUUAUUUUCUUAUGAGGUCUAAGGUUUUUCACUAUUAAAUUCCUGUUGUACAUAAUAGCUGAACCAUGAGUGAAACAUUCACCUGCGAUGUUGGUUAUGCUCUCUCACUGACGCGCUCGAUUCGUCGAGUGUGAGAAACAAGACAUCUUAACCUGAGUGAUUCCUUGAAUUUUCCAGUAGUCUUCCUGACUGAGGGCCAUAGUUAAUAAGUUCAAACGUUGCUUCUGCUUUCCCUUCUAAUUAUGCAAUUCAGGACUGCAAAGUCCUGUUAGAGAGGCUUUUUGGGAAACAGUUUUUUCCUUCCUUUAAUUUUUAAUUUAUUUGUUUAUGUUUCUUUGUUUUCCAAAAGGAAAGAGGGGGAAGAAUGCUGCCUUGCAGUUGGUAAAAAGUGUAUUGUGUUUGUGGUGGAGUGCAUGCUACUUCUGUUAAAUGAGAAAAGAAUGUUUUUGAGUUUGCUUGGCAA